rnacentral:rRNA from 1 species
AUUGAACGCUGGCGGCAGGCCUAACACAUGCAAGUCGAACGAGUGGCGGACGGGUGAGGAAUACAUCGGAAUCUACUCGGUCGAGGGGGAUAACGUAUGGAAACUUACGCUAAUACCGCAUACGAUUGAAUGAGCCGAUGUGGGAUUAGCUAGUUGGCGGGGUAACGGCUCACCAAGGCGACGAUCCCUAGCUGGUCUGAGAGGAUGACCAGCCACACUGGAACUGAGACACGGUCCAGACUCCUACGGGAGGCAGCAGUGGGGAAUAUUGGACAAUGGGCGCAAGCCUGAUCCAGCCAUACCGCGUGGGUGAAGAAGGCCUUCGGGUUGUAAAGCACUUUUGUUGGGAAAGCGGUACCCAAAGAAUAAGCACCGGCUAACUUCGUGCCAGCCGCCGCGGUAAUUC